UCUCGAUUGGUCUAGUGGUCAGGAUACCUGCUUGUCAUCAAGCAAUCCGCAGGUGGCCGGGGUUCGAUUCCCCGAUCGAGAG
rnacentral:tRNA from 1 species